UACGGGGGGGGCAAGCGUUGUUCGGAAUUACUGGGCGUAAAGGGCUCGUAGGCGGCCAACUAAGUCAGACGUGAAAGCCCUCGGCUUAACUGAGGAAGUGCAUCCGAAACUGAGCAGCUAGAGUACGAAAGAGGGUCGCGGAAUUCCCGGUGUAGAGGUGAAAUGCGCAGAUAUCGGGAGGAACACCAAUGGCGAAGGCAGCUCGCUGGGACGGUACUGACGCUGAGGCGCGAAAGCGUGGGGAGCAAACAGG
rnacentral:rRNA from 1 species